rnacentral:tRNA from 1 species
GUCUUAAUAGUUUAAAUAAAACAUUGAUCUUGUAAAUCAAAAAUAAUUAUUAUAUUUUAAAACU